rnacentral:rRNA from 1 species
CAAUAGCGUAUAUUAAAGUUGUUGCAGUUAAAAAGCUCGUAGUUGGAUUUCUGGUUGAAGCGACCGGUCGGGCGUUGAUUCGUCUGCACUGGAGUCGGUUUUGGCCAUCCUCUAGGAAAGUGCGUCUGGUAUUAAGUUGUCGGGCGUAUGAUCCUGGUCUUUUACUGUGAAAAAAUUAGAGUGUUUAAAGCAGGCCUUCGCCUUGAAUACAUUAGCAUGGAAUAAUAAGAUAGGACUUUGGUCUAUUUUGUUGGUUUGCAGACCGAAGUAAUGAUUAAUAGGGAUAGUUGGGGGUAUUUAUAUUCCGAUGUCAGAGGUGAAAUUCUUAGAUUUUCGGAAGAUAAACUUAUGCGAAAGCAUUUACCAAGGAUGUUUNCAUUAA